rnacentral:rRNA from 1 species
UACGUAGGCAGCAAGCGUUGUUCGGAGUUACUGGGCGUAAAGAGUAUGUAGGCGGUGUCCUAAGUUCGGUGUGAAAUCUCCCGGCUCAACUGGGAGGGUGCGCCGAAGACUGGGAUGCUGGAGUCUCGGAGAGGAACGCGGAAUUCCUGGUGUAGCGGUGAAAUGCGUAGAUAUCAGGAGGAACACCAGUGGUGUAGACGGCGUCUGGACGAGUACUGACGCUGAGAUACGAAAGCGUGGGGAGCAAACAGG